GAAACAUGGACCUAAAGAAAUGACUGUGCCAUGUUGACUGUAGAAAGCUUCUAGGAGCAAAUUAACACAUAAAAAAUUGACAUUUCCUGUGAUUAACUGGAGCAUUUUCUUUAAUCCUAAGAGGAAACAGCAGUGGAACAAUACCAAGACUCAAGGCUUGCACAUGGGUCCAAAUGGAGUCUUUCAGGGUCAGAACCAGGAUCUUCUAGAACCCAGCCUCCUGAAAGUGCAAAUGGAGAAACUGAAUCUUCAAGACAGGGAACAAUUUGCCAGAGAUGCAAUCAAAUGUUAGAAUGCCACACAGUUUAAAAAGCAGAACAAAUGUCCACAGAGAGGAUAUGGGAGAUGUUACUGUAAAUAAAGCAACUUUCUAUAACAGCCCCAUUAAUUUGUCUGGAACUUAGUAAGUACCACUAAACAUAAGCUUGGUACCUCCCCCAAAUCUGGC
rnacentral:lncRNA from 1 species